rnacentral:lncRNA from 1 species
AUGCUUGCCCUCCCCCCGCAAGCCAGCUUUCCAGGUUCAUCCCCGCAAAUGGCCUGUUCACAUGUCCCCUGGCAUGACUUCUGUCUUCUUGGGACCCCUGACCCUCUCCACUUCUACUUGUCAUUCAGUAAUAAGGCCCUAAUCCGAUGUCACCUGUCUGGGAGGACUUCCCUGAUGAAGCCAAGAAGUGAAGUACUUUCUCCAGUCACUGCAUGUAUUCUGAGAUGCAUUCGUACUGCACACACAAGCCUGUGUGUGUCUCACACACUCAUAUACAUGGCACGCAUGUGGCUGAUAACCCCUAGGAAUCCUUGUGUGCACCUGCUGUCGAUAAGCCUUGGCUUUGCUCCAGGGCCUGUGCUAAGCGACCAGCCAGAUUCUCUCUUGGUCUCAUCACAGCCCUGUAGCAAAGUAGCUCUAGCAAAGCAUCAAAUAUGAGGAUAUUAUAACUAAUCACAUCUCUGUAUUACAGAUGAGAUCAAAGAGGUUAGGUGAGUUGCAUAAAUAAGGUCACACAACCAGUAAGCGCCAGAGCCAAGGUUCAAAGCCAAUUUUGACCUAAUCCCAUGUAUGUAACACUGCACUGCCAUUCACCAGGCAAGAAUUGCUCUUCAAAGAGUCAUGUACCUCAGCUUCCUUGUACAGUGCUUUGCAGGCAGUAUGCAUUCACAGUUGUAUCCCAGUACCUAACACAGAGUCCAGAACGUCUCCUGCAUGCGCAGCAGGUACCUGUGACUGAAUGAAUGGAGCUAUUGCCAGGCACUCCAACAAACCAUCUAAAGGAAAACAGCCAACACCGGGGCCUGAGAGUGUAUUAACAAAAGUUCCAGCGAUUCCUAUGCAGCCAGGCAGCACCUGUCCGCAGACUGCUGUCCAGCAAAAGGGUCACUGAGGCAGACGGUUGUUAACUGGCUAUCCCAAGGUUAGCAGCCUACCUCCUACCCCUGAGCCAACUUUUGUAGUCAGCUCCUCUUGGUGUCCGCCUGGCUAUAAGAUAAGAAACUAACACUGGGCAGAAAGCAAGACCUUGUCUCCAUCUGUCCUGUCUAAGGAGACCUUAAAUUGGUUUUCCUGACUCUUUCCUCUGAGGAGGUCCUUACCAGGGCCUCAUCUCAGAUAAGCUGAAUAGGGGACAGCCUCCAAGCAGCUGACCUAGAAACUCCAAACUGCAGCAAACCAAGUCUUUGACCUGGAAGGGCCUUGUUAUUGGGUUUUGCUUAACGCAGAUCCAUCAUCUUCAGAACCUCCUUCUUGCCUCUUUGGAGAGGAGCCAUGUUGCCUGGCAACCAGUGUGUCAGUGAUGUAACAAAGUUGUUGAUCAAUAAAGAUUGGGUCUCAUAACCUCUCUCUGAAGUAUGUUUGAUCUCUCUGGUUCUCAAAGCCACUGCUGAUGUCUUAGCAGCUGGGGUGAUGCAUUCAAAAGAAAAUAAGAUUCAGAGUUAGACAUACCUAAAUCAGUGUCCCAAUCCAGCCACAUACUGGCUGUGUGACCUUGACAAAUCACUUGCCCUCUCUGAUUCUGUUUCCUCAAACCAAUGGUGAGAAGACUUUAGUGGGAAAUCUCAGGUCCUUCCAGUUCUGACAUCUAUGAUCUGUGUUUCAUGACCUGGGGCAUGAGCUCCUCCCAUGAUCCAAGUCUAGUGUGAUGAAGGGACUCAGUUCUGCUUCGUGUUGGUCAUCCUGCAUUAUCAUUCUGGACAACUGAGGCAUGAAAAUAAAUCAGAAGCAGUGAGAAGUUAGGAUACAUUGUCCUUCCAUAAAUACCGCCCUCUUCCCAACCCCCAGUCUUGCCUUGAUAAUAAAAUCCCCUUUCCUACAGACAGACAGCACGACUCUCUGGGAAAUCCUCAAGAAAUGUCGUCCAUAUGUUUUUGAGUCAUUUACACUGAACCCAUCAUAAUAUUGUUCUUUGAAGAUCCAUUUACAUUUGUUCUAAAGGCUUAUUUUAAAGCUUAUGCAAAUGAAAUAGAUUAAGGUUGCAUUCUGGAAGCUGAGGCUGGAANNNNNNNNNNNNNNNNNNNNNNNNNNNNNNNNNNNNNNNNNNNNNNNNNNNNNNNNNNNNNNNNNNNNNNNNNNNNNNNNNNNNNNNNNNNNNNNNNNNAAUGGGAAGUUCAUUUUAAAGCUCGGUGUAAAUAGAGUUUCACAUGUGUUCUAAAUAGUUCUUCCUUCUUAGCCCAAGUGGCCUCCGUUCAACCCUCCAGUAACCUCAGACCGAGAGAGAAGUUCUCUGGGUGGGAAAUGCUAAUUGGUGGCAGUUAGGAGUAAUGGAAAGAGCCAGGGAAUGGGAACCUAAUUCUCCCCCUCUUAACUAGCCUUAUGGCAUUGAAUGAGUUCCCCAAUCUUCCUAGGUUUCAGUUUCUUCAUUUGGGUCCCACACAAGAUCUCUGUGGCUCCCUCACGUCAGCAUCAUAAGAACAGAUUUCGAGGAGCAGCUUUUGGACUUGUCACCCUGAUCUACUGAUUUAUAGUCUCCAAGAGUGAAGCGCGAGAAUCUGGAUUUUUUUUCCUGUGCCCCCCAAGUAAUUCUGAUGUGUGCCCAGGUGUGAGACGCAGUGGUCUAGGUAAUCCGUAAAGAUCUUCCGUCUCCACCUACAAGGUUCUGCAAUUUGUUUCUGAAGUCUCUCUUUUCCACGUGUAUGUCCCUACCUGCCUCCUACACUCUUGUAUGUGCUAAAAAUGUUCGUUCUUCAUAUGGCCCACAGUGUGGACACUAGGGAAUUUUGUUGGAAGAACCCUGAUGCUCUUGUUGAAGGCUGCUUGGAUGUAAGAAACUAUCAUUUGUCAUCCCAACACACUCUGACGGAGAGGCUGAAAUGUGGAGCUCAAUAUCCAGUGGCAUUACAGAGCCCCUAAGAGUCUGCCCCACAGAAUCGAGCAGGCCCACUGGUGAGCAAAUACAUCAGUCAAAUGACCUGUAUAUUGAUACCCAUCUACCUAUGCAGGUGGUGAGUAAGUGGCAUCAUGGGAAUCUGCCUUAGGAUGUGGACUUGUGCUCCAACGCACUGGUGAAAGUGGAGAUGGGGGAGAAGAGUCCUGGGCUUGGCGAAGGACACCUUGUCUCUGACCUGAGUUGCCUCUUCCGACUGUUGAGAACAGAGAGUUGACUCGUGUUACAUAACGCCUGAGAUGGCUUUCCGCUCAGUGCCUGCAGAAAACAGCUCCUCAUGAUGCAACCUUCUCCCUGGCCUGCCACAGUCCCUCUUCUCAUGUAGCCCCAAAGUCAGCGCUGUCUGAUGUCACUUCUGAGGGCCUUGUCACUUGUUAUACCAGGACUCUCGGGGAACAAGGUGUACCUUCUGCUCAGUGAGUCUGGCUUUCUCCACGCAGCGUAGCCUCNNNNACGCAGCGUAGCCUCGUUUUGAUGUCAGUCUGGCAAGGGUUACCUUCUCUGCUCCCAACGAGGAAAGGAUAUACCUGAGCUCAGAGAGGCAGAAUUAAGGGUCUGUCUAACUUGGCGGCUUCCCUGGUGGUCCAGUGAUUCUGAAUCCACCUGCCGGCGCAGGAGUCACGGGUUCAAUCUCUGGUCGGGGAAGAUCCUACAUGCCACAGAUCAGCUAAACCCGCGUGCACCGCAGCUACAGAGCCUGUGCCCUAGAGCCCGUGAGCCGCAACGGCUGAGCCCGCCUGCUGCAACUGCUGAGCCCGCUCACCUAGAGCCUGUGCUCCACAAUGAGAGAAGCCACGGCAGUGAGAAGCCCGAGCACUGGAGGUAGAGAGUAGCCCCCACUCUCCAAAACAAGAGAAAAGGCUGCACGCAGCAACACUCAGCACAGCCAAAAAUAACUAAAUAAGGAAAAUUAAAGAGAACUGGUCCCCAUGGCCAUCUCAAAAAAAAAAAAUUUUGUCUAACGUUGUCUUUCAGUCCUUUUUUGUGCGCCCACCCCUCCCCACCUCUCCAUCAAAGCACCCAGUACCCCCUAGCUGGUAGCUGGCUGCUACAAUCUUAAAGUCUUGAGCUACAGGAUUAUUGUUUGAUUAGUCUUGUCUCCCAAGAUAGAAGACGAUGCUGGGAGAGAGCCGUGCUUUACCCAUAGGGAUAAACUGCAAAUAUAAGCAACGUGAUUCCAGGCAGAAGAGAUCUGUGAGUGAGGGGCUUUCAUGUGACCAUCCCCCAAGUCAGAGCAUGUUUGUGACUACUGAAGGCCUGGAAUAUCCAGACAGACUUUUCUCCAGACGACUUCCAGAUGACUGCAGCACCUACCAUCUCCACUGAACUUAGCAAUAGAACAGUUUUGUUUCUUUCAAUCCUAUUUAUAAAACCAUUUUUUACACCGCUGCUUCAAUUCAGCCCCAUCUGCAGUUCCUUCCAUUAAUCACAGUAGAACUCCCCACUGUAGCUUUCAUUACCUGCUCGAAAUGAAUGUGGAGAGAAAACAUAAUUAGAUGCCACUUUUAAAAAAUAAUAUCUCAAAAAUAGAGCAAUGACUUAAAUAAGAAAGAAGGGGGAAAAAAACACCACUUGAACUAAUGGGCCAAAUUACCUCAGGUUAAGCUGGAUUUUAAAUCAGGUUUUUCUUUCUUUCUUUCUCUUUCUGCGCCCCGCCCCCCCUCUACCCCUCCAGUGAAUCAUGACCGCUUUAGAGUUCAGCUGGAUGGGUGAUUAGAUUUGCUCGUCUCAGCUGAAACAAUGAAAUAUUUCUAUAAUAUUAAACGUGUCAAACUGAUCAAAGUGCAGUGUCAAAAUUCUAAGUGCUCCUUCUUGUCCAAUCCCCUCCGCUCUGGCGAAAUGCAGCAUUUUAUUUGCUGCCCCUAAAUUCCCUGAGGUUCUUGAAACCUGAGCCAUGCUGCCUGAUUGGCAGGGGUU